rnacentral:misc_RNA from 1 species
AAUUCUCAACCAUUAUCAACUUUUGCUGAUAAUGGCUUGGAUGUGGGGGUCUAUUUUGCUGGCUUCUCAGAUAGUCAGCUCCCCUUAAAUGCAUUAGCCGGUGCCCCGCGUGGACUGUCUAUUGGUGUGAUAAUUAUCUACGCUAUAGACAUCUGCAAUUAUAUGGGUUUGCACUGCUUCUAACAGUCUGUCAAUUCAGACAAUACAUGACA